rnacentral:rRNA from 1 species
AUUGAACGCUGGCGGCAGGCCUAACACAUGCAAGUCGAGCGAGAAAGGUCUUCGGACUGAGUACAGCGGCGGACGGGUGAGUAAUGCGCAGGAAUCUACCUGGUAGUGGGGGAUAACUCGGGGAAACUCGAACUAAUACCGCAUACGCCCUACGGGGAAAGCGGGGACCGUUCGGGCCUCGCGCUAUCAGAUGAGCCUGCGUAGGAUUAGCUUGUUGGUGAGGUAAAGGCUCACCAAGGCGACGAUCCUUAGCUGGUCUGAGAGGAUGAUCAGCCACACUGGAACUGAGACACGGUCCAGACUCCUACGGGAGGCAGCAGUGGGGAAUAUUGCGCAAUGGGCGAAAGCCUGACGCAGCCAUGCCGCGUGUGUGAAGAAGGCCCUUGGGUUGUAAAGCACUUUCAAUUGGGAAGAAAGGUUGCGUGUUAAUAGCACGUAGCUGUGACGUUACCUUUAGAAGAAGCACCGGCUAACUCCGUGUCAGCAG